rfam:Picea glauca, whole genome shotgun sequence.
GGCCUGUGAUGAUACUAAUGUCAUGCACCAAUCUGAGGGUUUCUGUGCUGAAAAUGACCACCACAACUAUCUAUCUGAGGCC